UGUCAUAGGAGAGCCUGGGGAAGAAAACAGUGGACAAGACAGAUCAGGCUUGUCCCCUUGGAGCCUACAUUCCAGUAGGGACGGAUGGGAACAAUAUGUUAAUUAAAGUCAUUAGUAAACCCAAGGAAUUCCAAGGAAGAAGGAAGUGGGUGCUGUGACAGAGUCAAAGAGAAAUUGUUUGAAAAUACCAGGGUGACAGAGAUGUGAUGUUCGUGAGCCAGCCCAGGAUCCUUCACUGCCGAUCUCAGGUGGACCAGUCCUGAUUUCCCCUGCUUGGUCUACAUGGAAUAAACCUUUCUGAACUCUGUGGA